rnacentral:misc_RNA from 4 species
AACGCACCUUGCACUCUUUGGUAUUCCGAAGAGUAUGUCUGUUUGAGUGUCAUGAAACUCUCAACCCCCCUGUUUUGUAAUGAGACAGCGCGCGGGCUUGGAUUAUGGCUGCUUGUCGGAUCUUAACCAGACCGGCUCGGCUGAAAUAUACGAGCGACCCAACUGAAAGAGACGGCUUGACUCGGCGUAAUAACUAUUAUCGCUGAGGACGUCCCCUUCUCCGUGGCGCUUCUAAUGCACACCAUUUAAGCUUUAGACCUCAAAUCAGGCAGGACUACCCGCUGAACUUAA